rnacentral:rRNA from 1 species
GACAGAGGGUGCAAACGUUGUUCGGAAUUACUGGGCGUAAAGCGCGUGUAGGCGGCCCUGCAAGUCGGGUGUGAAAUCCCACGGCUCAACCGUGGAAGUGCAUUCGAAACUGCAGGGCUAGAGUCCUGGAGAGGAAGGUGGAAUGCUUGGUGUAGAGGUGAAAUUCGUAGAUAUCAAGCGGAACACCGGUGGCGAAGGCGGCCUUCUGGACAGUGACUGACGCUGAGGCGCGAAAGCCAGGGGAGCGAACGGG